rnacentral:rRNA from 1 species
AUUGAACGCUGGCGGCAGGCCUAACACAUGCAAGUCGAGCGGUAACACAGGGAGCUUGCUCCUGGGUGACGAGCGGCGGACGGGUGAGUAAUGUCUGGGAAACUGCCUGAUGGAGGGGGAUAACUACUGGAAACGGUAGCUAAUACCGCAUAACGUCGCAAGACCAAAGAGGGGGACCUUCGGGCCUCUUGCCAUCAGAUGUGCCCAGAUGGGAUUAGCUAGUAGGUGGGGUAACGGCUCACCUAGGCGACGAUCCCUAGCUGGUCUGAGAGGAUGACCAGCCACACUGGAACUGAGACACGGUCCAGACUCCUACGGGAGGCAGCAGUGGGGAAUAUUGCACAAUGGGCGCAAGCCUGAUGCAGCCAUGCCGCGUGUAUGAAGAAGGCCUCGGUUGUAAGUACGUUACUAGCGAGGAGGAA